CCGUCGAUAGCUCAGUUGGUAGAGCGGAGGACUGUAGAGNAAUCCUUAGGUCGCUGGUUCGAAUCCGGCUCGACGGA
rnacentral:tRNA from 1 species